rnacentral:piRNA from 1 species
UCCAUAUUUGCUGAUAGAGGUACCUAUUA